CCAGCUGCAGAGAACACCCAGGGAACGGGCACACGUUAGCAGGCCCAAGUGUGGGGCCAGCAGUUCAUUCUGGACCAAGCGCUAAGUCAGUGAAGUAUGCUCGCCCAUUUCACUCUCAUUUAAGUUUCACAUAAGGUGAUCCCAACCAGUUUACAAAUCCUGAUGGAAAUUUUGUCUGACUUCCAGGAGCCAUAAUUUGUUUUUAACGGAUCAAGAAAUAUUAAGAGAAAAACGUUUCGACAUCAAUUCUCAGUCCUCUCAUUCGUAGCCAAUUUUUGGUAAAAGAAUUCUAUCAAAUGAGAAAGUUAAAAGCAAAAAAACACUUGGUUGAAGUUAUAUUUGGCAGAUUUACGUUAGUCCAAUUUGCCUAUUUCAGUGCUGUCAACUCUACAUUCAAUAAAUACCACAGGUGGAUUUUUUAAAAAAUUUACUUUAAUCUCUACAUUUGUCCCCUAAGAAAGUCUUUAUGCAAAAUUUUAGUAGUAAACUGAAUUGCGAAUUUCUUACACAAACCUUAAUACACAUUGAUAUUGUAUGUUAUUUCAAACACAUGUAAACAAGUGACUUCUAUAACAGGUAGGUGUUCAAUAAACAAUAGCAAAAAUUUUGUAAUGAUGUAUAUUUAAUUCCCCAAAUAUUUACCAUUGAGAAGAGAUAGUUCAAAUUUUUAUUUCUGAAAUAAGAGUAAGCAGCUAGCAAUGAUCUAAUAUCUCACUCUUUUACUCAAAAACUUUGCUGUACAUCCAGGAUGUUUUCCUUUAUUCACAUGAGGUAAACAUAGGGACCAAUAGCUGUCAAAAGAAACUUCAACAGAAGGCGGCACUGUAACAAGCAGAUAAAACAAGUUAUCUAUGAAUAGACAAUAAACGUUUUAAAACUAAAAAUCAGACCCCAAAACUUUCUUAUCCAUAGGCAAAAAUCAAGCCUUCAGAGACUCAGCAAUACAAAGAAUUGAAGUGGCCAAUAAAAAGUGAAAAAAUAUCUAGGUCUUUUCUCAAGUAUCAUGAGCUGUGGGAACAUCAGCAAGUUCUAAACUCUGUCCUGUGUCUUCUGUUCCCUUCUAUAAUUAUCCAGUAAAGUGAUUACACUUAAGUCCAUGAGAAGACAAAGACACACUUUCUUGGGAACUGAAAGGUGUAAUGAGGAGAUGGUUCUAUGUUCUUAAUAUGUACAGAGCAUCAAAUACUUGAACAGCAAAGAACUUUGUGGGGUCCUAUUGAACUUGAGUGUUUUAAAAGUAGGCAUGUCACUGCUGGGAUUCACCACUGCCCUGAAGUUCCAGAUGUCUGUGUGGUUUGGGUAGACUGUCCAGCACAUGUGCUCUGGCAUUCAUGCAUUUAGAACUGGCCCAGGAAUAGAACUCAUAAAAACCACCCACUAGCUCUAAAAUCCAUUAUCCAGCACUCUCCAUUCCGAGUCCCCAAAUGCUUCAUCUCCCUGCCUUUGCUGUCUCUCUUACAUUUCCUCAAUAGGGCAGCAUGCAUCCCAGUCCCAGGAUGUUUAUCAACACUCUUCCACACCCUUCAGCUGACCUCUGCAUCUGGAUUAGAAGCCAUCUGUGUGGCUCUCCUCAAAGGCGCUGCUCCCCUACUCUGUCCCCACCUGGGCUCACAAUGGCCAAAGCCACAGCUGUGUUUUAAGUAUUUAAGGCUUGGCCUGGCAUCAGCAAAUUGCUGUGUGUGGUGGCUCUGCUGAAGUAGCUACAGACAUCAUAUCACGCUCUGUACCUGAUGUGAGGAUUCCCUGGCCCCAGAAUUAGGGAGUGACUCUUGAGAGCCAGUAUUCACAGAAACCAGGGCAGGAAAGCCCAGACCAGGACUAUAUUGGUUCUCAACUUCUCCAUGGGUCAGCUUAUUCAUUCGGGCAUUAAAAAGAACCAUCAUGUUUGCUAACCCAAGUGGGCUUAAAGCUGUGGAAGCGCUAACUUUAGUAUGAAGUGACAGUUUAAGAAAUUAUUAACGUAGCAUUUCACAAGAAAUGAAUGGGCAUUCUAGUGAUUUGGCUGCUAGUAUAUACUGUAGUGAAGAACUUUACUAGCGUUUUGACUUCACCAUUUUUAAGUGGUUCAGUGAGGCAUCAAGAAUAUAAUAUGCAGGGACUGGAGGGGUGGGGAAAAGGAGCGCAAAAACAUUUAUUUCGAAUUUUAAAGUGUCUGACUUUAUUUCUGUGCAAAUGAUAAUCUUUUAAAUACUUGAGUUAAAUGGAUUUCAUAUCUGGACUGUGAUGUGAUGAAAUGCACAAUUUUACCAUUUUCUUCUUCCUCAUUAAGCUAUUUUUAGAAAAGUUGAUUUUCACAGAGAUAAAAAGGCCGAAAGAAUGAAAGGUACCAGAAAGGCAAGGUUGCCUAUAGCUUUUGGAAAUUACUUAGAAGUUAUUUGUCAUAAGAAAUUCAUUACUUCUUUAGUUUCUCCGUUUUUUUUUCUGCUGUCUUUUCUCUGAAAACAUGAAACUGAACUUUUUGGAAAUACUAUGUAUUUCCAACUAGUAUGUAUUUCCAUAGUAUUUUGGAAAUACUAUGUAUUUCCAAAUAGUAUGUAUUUCCAUAGUAUUUUGGAAAUACUAUGUAUUUCCAAAUAGUAUGACAAGUUAAGCGUUCUAGAUAGCCCUAGUUGCAAAUGUACUUUGAGUGUCAUGUGUUUAAAUCUUUGGUCUUACACAAGUAAUCCAUCAAAUUUCUCCCAGCUUCUUUUUUCCCCGCUCUCCUCCAUACCCCUAAUUCAAAAAAUCUAAGCGAUUCCCCACUCUUGCCCAUCCUUCAAUUCUAAAAGUUUUGAUACUGAAGGAAAGGGGACCGUCUAGACCUGGCACAGUCCACUUACACAUGGGAAGACUGGUUUUAAGUAACACUCAAGGCCACAGAGCAAGUUACCUGCAGAGCCAGGUUAGAACCUGUGUCUGUCCCUGCUCUUUACACUACUUCAGGCAUGUAACACAUAAAAGGACCCUGACCUUCAAUGUGACUUAAAAAAAAAAAUCUGUGGCUAUAUUUUCCUUCUGAGGACUUUAUUCACUUUUAUACCUUACUGCAGCUGUAACAUCCAGGGCCUUUAGGAUCUGAAUCAUCAGUUAAGGUUUUAAAUACAUAUUUAAGAAUAUAUUUAAGAAUAUCUGACUUCAAACUUGAUUUCAUGCUAACUCAAUAGAUUCCCCUCAUACAUUAUAGAAAAUAACUCCUCUACCCCAGUGGUUUGCAGAAAGCUUUCAACAAGAAUAAUUUUACAGAUGGUUGGAUGGGGCAAAGAUUUAGAUUUGACAGAGAUAAGGAGAGGUGUAUGACCUAAUUUAUUUUCUAAUUCAGUCAUCUCUCCUACCACUAGAUUAAAGCAAGUUCAGAAAAAGUUAACCACACUAAAAACACUGUCCCAAGUGGCAGAAUGGUACAUGACAAAAAGGGCUAGAGUCACAGUUAGAUCGAACUGGCUUGGAACCCCAGCUCAGCCGGCUACUAGCUUGUGGGGUCAUUGUGAGAAUUAAAUGGGCACAGUGCCUGGUUCAGAGUAUGAGCUCAAUAAAUUAUCUUUCAUAGCAGAAUAAAAUCAAAUCAAUUCUGGUUACUUUACAAACCAGAACUUUUAAAACAAGAACAAUGUUUUACUUAUUGCAGGGGAUGUUUCUCUUCACCUAUGUCCAUUGCAAGUGGCUGGCAGGGGAACAGCAGUGGCAGGUGGGCAAAUGGGGAACUGGAGAUGGGGCUGUCAUGAGACCAGCUAAGAUGGCUGGUUUUAGCACUGCUCCUCCGCCUUCUCCUCAUCACGAAGCCAUAGGGCACUUAUCACGUGCCUAGCACUGGAGACACACACCAACCCUAGGAGGCAGGGAUGGUUAUCCCCAUUUAAAAAAUUCACCAUCAGUUAGUGAGGUCAAGUAAUGUGUCCAAGGGCAGAACCUGGAUGUGAAGUGCUGGCUGGCUCAGAAAGCCUGGUGCCACAUCAUUCUCUAUAGAGUGCUCAGUAAACAAAAAACGUUUGUUAAAAUGUUGGCUAUUAUUACUACAUACCACUUUUUCUCUGGGAAACUGCAACCCAAGUUUAAAAUAAAUGAUGUGAAAGUAAACUUCUGGAAAACAACUUUUAUGUAAAUUGGAAAUUCCUGAUAUGUCUCUCUGGAGCAAUAUCUGGAUUGCAAGUAAUUUAUCCCCUGCUCAUAAUAAAGAUGGGGUAUUCGUAAUUGUCUAGAAAAACUCUUGAGAUCACAAAGCUGAAAAACAUUUGUGAUCUAUGAAUAAAUAUGCUGUUGGUUUAUAUGCUUUCUUUAAUAUUUGAUUGUAUGACAGAAGCCAUUGUAUGAAGAGUUGCAAGACUGCACCCUCUGAACCAUAAGCUCCUCUGGUCCUGAUAUUUAUAAGCACUUUAAAAGUAAGGAGGGUAACUUUCGGCAUCCUCACAGCACCUGGCCAAACACUAAACAUGGUGGACUCAUCACUGUCAAUGACAACAAUGAUAUAAAUUUCUUACUGCAAUUCUGUACCCCAUUGGGUUCAUCAGGCAUAUUCAGUAGGACAUUCCUAUACUAGGAGGGUCCCAUAUUGGACUGGGAAAUCUUAAGAAUUUUCAAAUGAAGGUAGGUAAGUGAAUUAGGGGUAAGCUGCUAGGUGUUUCCACAAUAUAUUCCCAUCUGGCUAAGAUUAGCUCAGUAUCAUAUGCAUGAGACUUCAAUGUAUCAAUUCUGGGAAUGUAUAAAAUAGAAAAUAAAACUCCUACAAGGGCUUCCCACUCAGGUAGUACCGAUUCAGUUCCAUCUAUAACUUUAUUAUAGUAAUGCUUCAAUUGUCUUUUAAAAUUCUAUUACUCAGAGCUCAAUUGAUAUCUUCAUAUCACAGAAGCUAGGUCCACUGCAUGAAGGUCAAUAUCUAACAACUUGAUUUGUUUAGCACUAACUUAUGAUUGCCCCUUAGGAAAAGGUAUAUAAAUCCCAAUCUUAAGAAUGAUCAUUUAUUUACACAGUAAGGAUUAAUAAAAGACAAAUGAGAAUGUAUUGCACUGGGCUUAUGGGAGGUUGUGAGUGCAAAAAUAAUUCAAAUACAUUCCCCUAAGGUUGGGGGAGAAGGCAGGGAUAAAAAUCUGGAUUUUCUACAAAGUACCAUAAACAAAAAAAUGCUAGAAUUAAAAUUGAUUACUGCUUGGGAUUAUGUAUAAGUUUAAAAUGUAUUGCAAAAGGACAUAGGUUUCUUUACAAAGCCCUAUUUUUUGACCUUUAAUGCAUUCUGAACCUUUUGUAAAUUGUGCUGACUUUCCAAACAAAGCCAGAACUGAACACAAUUAUGGAGGAGGGCUCAAGGGAGAAGUGACCUGAGUGAAAUCAGCACAUGACUUGAGUCUCUUUUAGAGAGACUUUUCCUUUGUACUUAGAAUAAGAGCCAUAUUUGGCUCUGCCACAGAAAAACAGUAGCUUUGUAUGUCUUAAUGCAUAAAGUUGAUCUCUAUUUGAAGUCAUUCCACGUACCGAUAGAGAGAGAGAGAAGGAGCAACUGAUGACCAAUUCCUAAUCCUCCUGGGAACUUCUCUGGAAUAUCAAAGGAUGGCUGAGUCUCUCAUGUAACAUGAAGAAUAGGAAUGAGAGGUAGGGGAGAUGGUGCUCUUCAAGGGUCAGUAGCAAUGUGAACUGUUUCUCAUAAGUUGACUCCUGCCGCUGGCUUCCAGAUGUUGAGAUGUCUCAUCUAGGAGGUCUGUGGAGAUCCAACUCUCUGUGGGGUAAAUGGUCACUUUGGCUCUGAGAGGGCUGCAGGAUGUGGUCCAAAGAAUUUAUAGCCCCACCAGAAGAGCAGGAUUUGUAGCCUGACAUAAAUUGCAUAUGAUAAGGGACAGGCUUUGCCAGUGCCUGCAGUUGUGAUGUGCCUGAGGAAUCUAACACAGAAUGCUGGCGCUUCAGUCCCAGCCUCUUUUUGGGGGAGGAAUCCGAAGUCAGCUUCUAAAAGAGUUGACUCUGCAUCACAGUUAAAUGCCCAAAAUGAUUUUCAUUUCUACUGAUGCGAAGGCCAGUGAAAACAGCAGGAAGAUAUUAGUUGAUUCUUAUAAAAACUAUGCUAAUUUAGUGGACAUUAAAAUGAAUUAAUACCGACUGUUCCUAAUAGAAAAUGUUUGGUUUCAAUUCUUAACAUAGACAAAGUACAUUUUUGAAGAAAAAAUCUGUUUUUCAACCUUUUUUUUUUCAAUGCUUGAAGCAAAAUCAGUGAUCUCAUUUCUAAUUGAAACACCAAGGAAAAGCUCCCUGUGAGACAGAUGUUGAGAAACUUUAAGGUCUUAAGUAUAAAAUUUCUCUGAGAUUUUGAAGAAUUAGGGAAGAAAGGACAGACAGAUAUUUCACUUUCUGUCUUCCAAUGAAAUGACGAAUUUGGCAUAUUUUAAGGUUUCAUAUGGUUAAUGUUUCCCCAACUUUUCAUUUUCAUUCAUCACACAAUGGCUGGUGCCAUCCCUUGUGUCAGUCCCAUCAUAGCUUAUGCUUGCUGGGUUGAAUACAUCCAAAACAGUGGUAUGCAGUCAGUAUUUAUAAGAGUCGAUUACUACUAAGGGCAGAGUGUCAUCUCUUUCCAAACAAAUAACCAUUAUCUACUCCCCAAAUGGCUUUACAAAAAGUAGCAAUCCUCCCACUUCGCUGAGCCCUCCAUUUUCAGUAUCUUCCUCUUUACUCACAGGGAAGCCACUCAAUAAAUAUCUGUUGAAGUCAAAUCCCUAGAUUUCUAUACAAUGUAAAACUCCCUGUUCCAUCAAGCUCUAUGGCAUUCAGCAACACACAAUUGCAUUUUCCUAAGAGAGUAUUCUUAGAAAUAAAGCCACUAUCAUGCAGGUUAUUUACAAGUAAAAACAUGGAGUCAGCCCAGUAGAGAAACGUUCAAAUAGUGUGGCUCCUGCUCUGCCACGUUCUGUUUAUGACUUUGGAUAUUUUAUUUAUCCUUUCUGGGGUAGUUUUUCAACUUUAAGGUCCUAAUAAACUUUUAGAUUUUAUGACCUGUCCUCUUUAGCCCUGUAAGAUUUAAAUAUUAUAAAGAACCUGAUUUCAAAGACACUGGUAAACUUGGACAACUAAACAAGUCCAAGUAUGGUACUUAUUUGUGUGUGUGCAUAUAUUAACCUUAUGCAUAUGCUGUUUUCACACCUAUUUAAACUGUUUUUGAAAAACGUAUAUAUCAGUUUUUGGAAAACAGAAGAAGAUUUUAAAGGCAUUCGAGAGGCAGAUAAAAACAAUUCCAUGGUAAAUCUUACAAAAGGAAGAAUAUUCUGUGAAUAAUCUGUUCUGUGAAUAUUCUGUCAACUAACUAGCUAACGUCAAUUGCAUUUUUUUCUUAAGACAGAUAUACCUAUAGAUAAAUUCUACCCAGAUCAAGACAAAAAUAGCUUUUAGGUUUUGUGUGUCUCAAAAUAGUUUCUAUGGGGCUAGAGUUGGAUGUGGUUCUGCUAUAAUGCUUUCCCUUAAAGGAAACAUGGAAACUAUUUCAGUGGUAAGUGGCCAAGGUUCUGUUAAUAACCCUUUCCCCUCUUUCUGCCACUACUCUUUUGGAUGUUUUGGCUUUGACAUUUCAUUCAAAUAUGAAGAUAGGGUUGUGCUAUGCUCAGCAGUCCCAUGGCUUUUCUCUGCCUUCAUUCUUGGUAUCUCUGCAGCCUCUGACAGUGGGCUCACCCACUCCAUCUUUCUUGAAGCACUCUUCUCCCUUGACAUCACUAACAACUCUCCUUGUUCUCUUACUUCUGGGACUGUGCCUUACUUCCUUCACUGGUUCUCCAUCUCUCUAAAUAUGGGUACCUUACCAAGAUCUAAACUUUACACUCCUCUUUGCACAAGGAGUCAGUCAGCUGCAUCACUCUCACUCCCUGAUCUCUCUAACCCAGCCCUCAGUCCUGAAUUCCACUAUCCACUUCCAUGUAACAUAAAUGUGCUACUUCACUUCAAACUUAUGUCUAGACAGAGCUCCUCUCACCCUGAUCUAACUUGUCUCCCUAAAAUAAUAUCUGAUAUUUAAGAUACCCAUAAUUUGGCCUCAAACAGUCCUAACAAUCUUAUCUCCAACUAAUGCUGCUGUAUCUCUACCUUUUCAUUCUUCUAAGUUUGUUACUCUUAUUGUUCCCCAAACCCAUUUUGAGUUUUCCUUCCUGUUGGCCUCUUCUCAUGCACUGCUCUCUUUUGGAGGGCCACCCCCACCAACUUCUCUCCAUCCACUGUCUUCAUCCUUCUGUGCCCAUUUCAAUGCCCAUUUCUUCUUGAAGCUCUCCCUAGUAACAUCUAGCAGUUCUUACUCCCUCCUCCAUACUACUCCAGCCCACAAGGCUGGCAUGGCACUGUCAGUUUGGCAGUGGCAUUAUCAUCUCACACACCAGCCCAGAUCGCCCAGAGCCAGAUGUGUUCUAUCUUCUUGAUUAUUACAGUGUUUUGCACAUAGAUGUCACUUACUACCUGUCAAAAGAUUGCCAGGCAUCCUUUUGUGUGGAAUACAGGAAAGGGAAACGCAUCUUCUAAUAAAGGAGAUAUAUAUGUAUCAGAGCUCUUAUAAGUAACAGUACUUAUAUAUUUCUGGCUUGUUAGUAUCCAAAAUGUGAAACUCCCAAACCCGAAUGAGAACGUUUGUGAACCUGGUAAUGCAGCUCCUAAUCUGGCAUCUGUGAGGCGCUCCAUCAUGUUCCAGGCAGUGGCAGCCUGUACCAGUGCCCAUUUUCCAUUUGAUUUGGUUAUCAGUCAAAAACGCAAUAAGUUUAUGUUUACCUUGAAGAGAAGUGCCUUGGGGAUAUUUUCAGUACUUGGUGAGAACUUCAGUCAUCUCUAGGCAGUUCUUUUCUUUGAUAGGACCCAUUCUUCCCAUCCCUGCACUGUUCUACAGCCACUUUUUCAAAACAUAGACUGUAUCCUGAGAUAACAAAGUUGGUCCCUAUACAGAGAGAGGAAACAGUUCCCUUGUGUGUCCAUUGUGUAGUGUAGCAAGUCAUAAAAGACCGGACAGAGUGUUUCUAACAAGGCCGCAUUGAGUGCCUGUGUUGAGGCUAGAAGCUAAAGCACUGAUGUCUGCCUGGAACAUCACACUGAUGUCUGUAUUCAUUUUUCAAGUGUUGUGAAGUACUGCCAGGAAUCGCUUAUGGCUGAUACUAAGUUAAAGAAUGUGUAGGUGGAGUUCAUGCUUUAUUUCUGGAAGGAGAAUGAGGCCAAUGGUUGAAUGUGUGGCAGUAAGCAUUCUUACAAGCAAGUAAUGACUCACUAGUAGGUGGAGAAUUGAAUGAGUUUCUUCUUAAAGUCAAUUUCCUGAAACUCCAAGUGUGGCAGACAUCUGUUUUUAUUCUCUACCAUUCUUCUUUCAUCUGGUAAUAGCACUCCUCCCUCCCUUUACAGAUACGCUUCUACCCUAUUCCUUGUGGGUCUGCCAGUCACAAUCCUCUUGCCCUUGGUUGCAGGGUGAGCAUGUGAUCCAGGACUAGUCAACUGGUAUAUGGCUUCAGCAAAUUAUCCAAGGAUAAGUAUAUAAUCCAGGUCAGGCCAGGCCAAGCAGGGCCUUUCCCUGGGACUUUUCGUACUGAAGAUGGAAGGGAAAUGUGUCUAGAAGCAUAGAAUCACCUAGAGUUCCUGGCCAUCAUGGAAGGGUCUACAAAAAGGAAGCCAGUACAUAAAAAGCAGCCAAUUCCUUAUAUAAAAGAAAAAGGGAGAGACGCAGUUAAAAUUGGAAUACUAUUUUAGCCGCUGGAUCCAGAUAACCCUCAGACCAGUUUUAUCUCAGAAUUUUUUUUUUCUUUUUUUUUUUUUCUCUUCACUUAAAUUAGUUCAAAUGGUCUCUUAACACUUUUUAGAAAGUGGCCUUGGAAACCAACAAGUCCAAUAUCCUUAUUUUAUGAUAUGUAGAUGGAGACACAGGGAGAUCAAGAAAUUGCUGUUAUCAGCUGGUUGGUACCAAAGGCCCAACAAGAACAUCUUGCUGGUACGAACAAUAUAAAAAUUAAUCUAAUAGCACUAUCGGCAGUUGAUGAAUCAAUAAAUGGAUGAAUUCAUAUAUUGUUCAUAAACUUGUGAAAGAAACCACCAGAAGGGCUAAAAACAAAUAGUCUAAAGUGUUCACCUCUGGAAAGUAAGACUAGAAUGAGGUGGAGGGGGGACAUCUUUUAUUUUUGCAUUUUAUACUCUUCUAUACUAUUUGACUGUUUUUAACUAUGUGCAUAUAAAAAGUAUAGUGGUUAAAAAGACUCUUAAAACAUAAAACUCCAUAAGUUUGUAACUUAAAAGGAGGCCUUAGACAGUAACAAAAUAUCCUGGAGGCCUGAGAAGGGUAUCCAUUCAUCCAUUUCCUGUGUUUAAAGCCACCAGGGGAGGCCUUUUCCAAAUAAUUUCAUCAAGCAUGACUAUUGCUACUACUACUGCCAGCACCAACAGCGUCACCACAUCUAGUGAUGAGAGCUAACUGCUAUAGAGCACUUACUAUGUACCAAACACCAUUUUAAGCACUUUUCCCUCUAAACUCAUUUAAUUUUUACAAAAACCCGAGGAGAGAGGCCACUUUUAUUAUCUCCAUUUUACAGAUGAAGAAAUUGAGGCACAAAGAUAUAUAGUAAGUUGUCCAAGAUUAUGCAGCUGGAAAGAAGUGGAGACGGGAUUUAAACUGAGGAGCUCUGGCUCAUGACCAUGACGUUACCAUGUCUCUAACCAAAGCACCACGACUUAUCUUAUAUUUACCAUGUGCAAUGCGACUUCCUCAGACACAGAGGACCUUUCUGAUUUGGGCUCCACUCAAGACUAUGGCUCUAAGUCUGCCCCUCCUAUGCCCUAUUUCUUUGUUAUUGAGAUACAGAUAUUGCAAUGGCACCCAAAACAGCUAUAGAGACAGCUGGGCUAUGUCCUGAACACAUUCCAUGCAUAUAAUGUUAGGUAGUUAUGUCUCAUAUGCUAGACUUAAAAACAUUUCUUGGAAAAACUAUAAGAAUGUACAAAGCAACCUGGAGGAGCUGACUUUGAAACUAAGAAAUUAAAUUUGCUUCCAGAAUUUCUUACUUCAGUGUAAGUACCAUCAACUAGCGUUCAUUAUAUUGAGAAACUAAUGAAUGGUUGGUCUCUACUAAACAAACAUCAUGUGUUUACAGCUAAAUAUUGUAUAUCCAAAAUGUGAACAGGAAGAUGAAACCAAUUGAUAAAGGUUCUUACUUCACAUUUUCCAAGUAUAGUAUUAAUUCAAAUUUCUGAGAAAAAUCAAGAGACAUAUAUCACAUAAGGGCAAUAAAUACUACCAUAGAAUUUCAUGGUAUGGAAGUUCCUACAUACUUAUGGUUCUGUCCUUCACUCUCUUUUUUGAACACGUUUGUGGUAGAAAAAAAUAAAUACAAAAAGAAUCAUUUCCAAAAUAAUUGGAUUUGAAUUCUUAAAAAUAGUUUGGUAUUUACUUAUGUGUUUGUUCAUGAAUGACACAGGGUCUUGCUCUGUCACCCAGGCUGGAGUAAAGUGGUGUCAUCUUGGCUCACUGCAGCCUCAAACUCCUGGGCUCAACUGAUCCUUCUGCCUCAGCCUCAUGAGCAGCUGGAACUACUGGUGUGUGCCACCACACCCAGUGGAAUUUUUUUUUUUUUUUUAGUAGAGACAGGGUCUUACUAUGUUGCCCAGGCUCAAGCAGUCCUCCCACCUUGGCCUCCCCAAGUGCUGGGAUUACAGGUGUGAGCCACCACACAUGGCCUAAAUAGCUUUGUUUUUAAAUCACCGACAGCCCUUUUUUAGCAUCUGCUGCCACUGGGCUACUUAGUACUUUCCCGGGUAGAAGUGACUGUGCCACCAAUUUUCUGUGUGGCCUUCACUAAAUCAUUCUCGGUCUUUCUUUCAUAUCUUUGCAGUAUAGUAGGAUUAUUUUUAAAUAGUCCCCUUUAAAUAUUUUUAAAAUGUGCCCAUGCUAAUAAAUUCAUUCUUUAGUCUUUCAAGAUUGUACAUUUGAACAUCUGAAUAUCACUAAUAUUACUCAUCUGUUAUGCUGUUCCAUCUCUUGAGAUACUGUAUCACUAAAUGUGAUACAAUUUAGAAACAUUAUAUCAUAUGGUGAACAACACUAUAAAGACGACUUUUCAAAUUUCUAUUAACAUAGGCCUAUAACUGAAGAACUAAACAUUUUUGAAUAAAUAAUGUUGCCAAUAACAUUUUCUACAUAUUUUGGUCUUGCAAUCAAUGUGAGGAAUGCACAGUUGGAUCUGGAUACUCAGAGCAAUUUAUUUCCUCUUACAAGUCUACCAUUGAUAGUUUAAAUGCUAAUGGCCAAGAUAUACAAGCCAAAGGGUCCGUGGUGUGAAUGCAGGGCUUGCCUGAUCACCAGACUCCCUUCCCAACCUCUCCUCUGAAGAAGGAGAAAGUUCUUGAAAAAGCUCAAAAAUGCGUUUUGGCAAGCACAAGAGAUGCAGCCUAGCAGCAUGAAUUAAGAGACUUGUGACCGUGGAAAAGAACUGUAAAUUUUAAAUGGCUUUGGCCCUUCUUAGCUUUUGACCAGCUGACCUUGACAUUCCUUAGAGGCCAAAGGAUAAGAUGCAGUGAAGACAGUGCUGCCUAGCCAUUUCCCCUCAGGGGGCAGCACCAGUCCUUCCAGCAGUGGAUGAAGUCUAUCCAGUGUGUCUUGGGGAGAACUGUAAUAAAUGAGGCUCCCUCCCUGAGAAAUGACUAAAACCACGAAAAUAAAUUCUUAGAUGAAACAGUUCAAUUAUCUAAUGUAAUUACUCCUAAGGAAAAAAUGAGAGAAAUUUAUCAUAGCUACAUGAAGUUUCCAAUGUGGUUAUAUAUGACUGUGUAUAGUCAACAGUUAUUCAUCUGGCGUUCUGUCAAACAGAGUUUUCUAUAAUAUGGUAUCUGUGACUGUUUCCAAUACAAUAAAAAUGCUGCAAAAUCUUGAAAUGCUUUUCAAAAGAAGAAUACUUUAUAGUAUAGUGUGUACAGCUGUAGUAUUGAGCUUAUUUUGCUGUACUUUAUUAAUCUUUUCCAAAACAUGUAAAUAAUGAAGUUUGUUGCACACCACAUCUGGAUUUCAUGAUUAUACUGUAAGACUUAUAUAGUAGAUGGCCCUUCAUUUAGGGAAGUAGUAUAUACACCAGAAUAUGCCUUUUCUUUUUAAGAUUUAAACAACGGAAAAAGCCACUGAAGUAUGUAUAGUAUCUGUGCGCCGAGAUACACAGGAAAGCAUGGAACAUGUGGAUGGAAGGAACCGGGAUCAUCUCAUCCAGCUGAGUAAUAAGUACGUUUGGUGCAGUGCCACACAGGAGGCCACCAACAGAGCCCAGAGUAGUAACUAGGUUGCUUCACUCUUAGCCUCUCAAGUGAUGACACCAAGGCAUGAUCUUAUCUCUUGAUUGUGGCCACCCGUAAAGAAAAGCGUAUCUCUAAUCUCAGAAGCACAAGGAGUUCAUACCAGGAAACCAAGAUUAGUAAGUAUUUUUGUGGUGAAUACCUUUUGAAUAAGACAGGAUUAAUGUAACAGUUAAAAGUAUAGAAAUAUAAAAGUUACGAACUUACUGGUGAUUUUUUUCUUUGGUGUGGACAUUUGUUGAUCUUUAAAAUAUAUCACAGGAGUAAAUAAAAGAUCUAUAGAAUUUACAAAAAUGUCAAAAUGAACCAGAAGACAAUAAAGUCACUCAAGAUAUAUGUUAAUGACCUCAUAGAGGAAACUUUUUUUUUCCUUUCAGGAACAUCAUGCUAUCGUCUUUCAAAAUUACUAUGUAGGAUCAGUGGAACACUAGACACUGACAGAGUGGGCCCUGCAUCCUUCACUGCUUCCUCAUGGAGGGAUUUCCAGGACAGGGGCCCUCUUUGCCUGUCUCCGCCCUUGGUGGCGAAUAUGGGUGGGGGAUGGAUCUGGGCAUGCUCACAUCAGCCCCUCCCUUGCUCUUCUCUCUUUGGAUCUUGCUUGCAGUGAGAGGGCUUUUUCUUCCUGUUUUUUGGAGGGUGAGAUCUGCGCGGAGCUGUUCAAUGCUGCCUGGACUGGGUAUUAGUAUGCUUAGCUCAAGGUGAAGUAUAAGCCAACUCAUGAGGCCCAGCAGUGCAUCCCCUUUCUUCUCUGAGUUCUCCCCAGUACAAAUCUGGUGCUUGGAUCUCUUUCUGACUCCUCAGUUUAUCUGUCAAAUGGUUCCAAACUUGAGUAGGGUGAGAGGAUCAUCCCCCGUCAAAUGUACAUUAUUCAUACACUGUAAUGGCGUAAAAGAACCCUAGACACAUGGACUCCCUUGCUAAUAAGUGCACCUUCAAAGCGAUAGUCAUUAUUUAGCAUUUAUCGGAAGAGGCUGGCCCCAGCUCUGGUGAAGGGCAGAGAAGGUGUGGGUGGCCUCACGUGUUCUCAAUGUCACAAAAUGAUAGCAUUAAACAGACCCACUCCCUCAUGGAAGGCAAUUUGACGACCUUCUAUUGAUAUUGCAACAUGUGUCUCUGGCAGCAGAUCUCAAUCCUUAUGUAAGGGAUAUGGGAAGACUUCCUCCACUUCAUGUAUAUGCUUUCCCUAAGCAGAUCUGGCAGAUGCAAAUUUAUCCAUAUCUUUUCAUUUCCAUUGAAGUUUUAGUAUCCACAUCCCCUCCUGAAGACAGAAAACUUGUCUUUGUAACCCUUUUUAUUUCAGCUGAUCUAAAUAAUUAGUUCAGAUUUACCCUGACAAAUGGCUUUUACCAUUUUUAGUUUCUUACCCUGUAACAAAAUACUGCCAUCAAGUUUUGAUUAUGAAAAUGGCUGAAGGCAAGGGACCAUAUGAGAGAGCGCAAUCAACAACAUAGUCUUUUUGCCCAACAGAAUUGGACAUUUUUGGCUUAGAGAAUUAAAGCACAAUGACUGUUCCUGAAAAUCAGUACAGUAGUCAUAAUAAAACUUUUUUCUUGGCUGGGCACAGUGUUGCAUGCCUGUAAUCUCAGCACUUUGGGAGGUUGAGGUGGGAGGAUCACUUGAGCCCAGAUCUUGAGACCAGCCUAGGCAACACAGUGAAACCUCGUCUAUGCUAAAAUAAAAAAAAAAAUUAGCCAGGUGUGAUGGUGUGAGUCUGUAGUCCCAGCUACUUGCUUGAGCCCAGGAGAACAAGGCUGCAGGGAGCCAUGAUCAUGCCACUACACUCCAGACUGGAUGACAGAACAAGAUCCUGUCUCAAAACAAAGCAAACAAAACAACUUUUUCUUUUUAAAAUUGAACUACUUAUUAUAACUGCAGACAUUUCUAUACAAUAUUUCUUUUUAAUCUCUUGAAAUUAAAUCCUAUUUUUUAAAGAAUACACAUGAUUAAAUACAAACAAAAAACCCCUCCAAACCCUAUUGGAUUUCCAACCUCAGCUCACAACUGAUACCUUAUACAAAAGUUAACUAAUAUCAGUCUUCAACAGGCCAGGGAUGGUGGCUCAUGCCUGUAAUCCCAGCACUUUGGGAGGCCGAAGGGGGAGGAUCACUUGAGUCCAGAAGGUUGAGACCAGCAUUGGCAACAAAGUGAGACCCUGUCUCUACAGAAAACUAAAAAAUUAGCUGGGCAUGGUGAUGCAUGCCUGUAGUCCCAGCUACUCGGGAGGCUGAGAUGGGAGGAUCAACUGGGCUCAGGAGGUCAUGAUCUUGCAGCCACAACACUCUAGCCUGGGGGACAGAGCGAGACCCCAUCUCUAAAAAAAUAAAAAAAAAUUAAAAAAAAUCUUCAACAUAAAUGUGAAUCUAAAACUAUAACAUUUCAAGAAGGAAUCAUAGGAGAAAAUCUUUGUGACCAUAAGUUAGGUAAAGAUUUCUUAGAUAAGACAACAAAAGGGUGAUCCAUAAGAGAAAAAAAAUUGAUGAACUGGGACUUCAUCAAAAUUAAAAACCUCUGCUCUUCAAAAUGCAAAAGAUAUAAAGAGAACACUGAAAGUACAUCUUCAUCUCUUACUUUUUCUUCCCAGUCCAAUUUCCCUCUCCAGCAUCAACCAAAUACUGUUACCAUUUCUCAAGUUCCCUCCUAAGCCAGCCCAUACAUAAUAAGCAUAUAGAUAUAAGCUGUAUGGUGGUUCUAAUGCUUUUUUACUUAGUUUUUUUUUUUUAAUUCCAUAUUCAAUAGAUUUAUUCGAUUAUUCAGUGUAGUCCUACACUCCCAAAAGCAUUCACUGGUCAUCCAUGUAGCCGAGGCAAAAUUCUUUGCAAGUAAUUAGUUUUGAAGUUUACUUAAGCAAAUAUGGAAACAAAACAUUAAAAUUUUUAAUUCGUUUGCCUUGGCUAAAACAAACAAAAAAUAUUUCCUAAGUUAUCAGCUCACUGUGUAUUAUUUAGGCCAUACUUCAUAUUUUAGCUAUGUCAGCUGUGGUAUCCUGGGGGAAAGAUGUUGUCAUGUGGGGCCUCACACCAAAAUAUUAUUUGAAGUACAUAGAAACCAGCUUCUUCAAUUUCUUCCAUUUCUUUGGGCAUUGUGUUUUCAAAUAAUGAAAUUCUCUCUUAAAGAAAAAUGAGGAUCUCUUUAGUCACGUUGAGGACUAGAGGAAGUAUUUUCCUCAGGCUGAAUUUUUUGUUUUUUGAGACUCUGUCAUCCCAGACUGGAGUGCAGUGGCACGAUCUCAGCUCACUGCAACCUCCGCCUCCUGGGUUCAAGUGAUUCUUGUGCCUCAGCCUCCCAAAUAACCGGGAUUACAGACGUGCACCACCAGGCACAGAUAAUUUUUGUAUUUUAGUAGAGACAGGGUUUCACCAUGUUGGCCAGGCUGGCCUCAAACUCCUGACUUCAAGUGAUCUGCCCACCUCGGCCUCCCAGAGUGCAGGAUUACAGGCAGUAGCCACUGCGCCUGGCUCUCAGGCUGAAUUAAAAUCACCUUUCACACUCCACAGCACAACUUACUUCCCAGAUGACUCACUCAACUAUUGGAGUGAGCAAGAAGAGUACUCCCAUCUCUCUUUUACUAUCUUGUUUUAUUUACUUCACAGCAUUUAUUACUGAAAUGACUACACUGAUGUAUUUCUUUUUAGACUUUCUGCCUCUGCCCCGACUCCAGACCUGGGAGUCCGAGGGGGCUUCUGUCCAGCUGUGCAUGGCUGUGGUUGAGGGUCUGGUGUCAACAGAUCCUUCUCCACCAUAUCAACUCCAUUUCUACCACUGGGAUUGGCCCUUAUUACUGUUACCUGGUUUGUACACUCAGCAGCAGUUUUCAGACGCGAAAAGAUAAGAGAUGAGCAUUUAGAGUAAUUAUCAUCAAUUCUGCAGCACUGUUUCGGGUGUAAAGGUUGUGUGUUCACCCGAUUUCACAUCCUCCAGACCUGCACUGUCCCACUAUGGUAGCCAUUAGCCACAUGUAGCUAUUAAGUGCUUGAACAGUGGUUAGUCAGAAUUGAGACGUGUUGUAAGUGUCAAGUACACAGCAGAUUUAAAAAAUUUAGUUUAAAAAGAUAUUGGAAAAUGAUCUUAUGACAAUUUUUAUAUUAUUUACAUGUUAAAAUAAUAUUUUGAAUAUAUUGGGUUAAACAACAUGUACUAUUAAAAUUAAUUUCUUUUUCCUUUUUAAUGUGACUACUAGAAAACAAACUGCAUAUGUGGUCUUCAUUGUGGUGGUUCACAUUCUGUUUCUACUGUACAGUGCUCCUUGAGGCCUAGUUCUAAAAGUUCCCUCACUUCUCACAAGGGUUACUGUCUGUUUGUCCUACUAGAGGUUCGCCAGAUGCUCUACUGAACAGGAAUUAUACAGCAGAGCCUCAGAAUCUAAGGACUUGGUCUCUGAGGGACCGAUAUUUGGGGUAGUGGUGAUAGAUUUGUCCAUGAUAGUGGCAAAAAGUUGUCCUCCAAUUUUUUACAAGUUUCCUAUUUGCUGACUUCCCAUCAAGUAAUAUUAGAAAUGAUUCUAAGCUUGCAUUUCUCAAGCCUUUCCACUCUUCUAAGACAUCCACACAUGGUCAGCAUGUCUGGGGCACCGUCGGUGCUACCCAUUGACAGAUGAGAGCCCUCCAUCUCCAGCAGAGCCUUCUCCUUCAGGCAGUGAGAGAAGACUCCGCUUCCAUAGACAGGAUCAUCCUGUUCAGAUCAACUACAAGGCCACAGUUGUAAAGGAGUCAGUCCUGCCAGCAGCUGUGAGCAUGGAUAACUAUCAGUCAUGGGGAGGAAGCUGUCGCCUCCAAAGAUUUAGGGUAAAAGGCAGAAGAUAGCAGGCUGUGGGGUGGAGAUGAAUUUGACUUUUCUCUCACGUGAAAUGCAGGUAAGCCCCGAGUCAUGUAACAGAGCAAAGCAAAAAUGUUGUAACACGUUGACAAGAGGAAGGAAUGACCAAUUAUAACGCUGAGGUUUUAUGUUUAAAUGCUACAAAUUUUUCUCCAGUUUAUAAAUACAUUUAAAUAAAAGUCUUAAUGCAAAAGUACAAAAAUGAUAGUCUACUGUCUUAAGACGCACCGACUAUUUUUAUAUUUAGAGUAAGGUGAGGGGGAUGGGAGUGAAUCCAGAUUGAAUAGUGCCAGACAAUGGGCAGAACGGGACUCUUAAACACACAUUAUCUUUCUUCCAAGAAACUACUAUUGCUUCCUUCUUAAAGCCCACUCUGGAUUUUUUUUUUUAAUUUUUAUUUUUUUUGAGACUGGGUCUCAUUCUGUUGCCCUGGUUGGAGUGCGGUGGCACUAUCACGGCUCACUGCAGCCUCGACCUCCCAGGCCCAAGUGAUCCUUCCACCUUAGCCUCCCAAGUAGCUGGAACCGCAGGUAUGUGCCACCGUGCCCAGCUAAUUUUUUUACUUUUGUAGAGAUGGGGUCUCCCUGUGUUGCCCAAGCUGGUCUCCAAUUCCUAAGCUCAAGCAAUUCUCCUGAGUUGGCCUCCCAAAGUGCUGGGAUGACAGGCGUGAGCACUCUGGAAAGUUAAUACAAUCUUCUGAACCAAGGUAUUGUUAUUAGUUAUCCAUCUUUUGACCCAAAAACCAGUAUCUCAGAGAAACAUGCCAAAUUAAAGAGAUUACAAUGGAUACUUUCUUCACACUCGAAAUAAAAGAUAGCAUCUUAAUAAAAGUAUUUAUGCUUGAUCAAACUUUAUAAAAACAAGAUGCCGGGAAAAAUAUCUUCCAGCCCAUUUAUGAGUGUAUAACUUAAAGAAAAAAUGACCCCUGAUGUACUAACUUUGUGUGGCUAAAUAUAGUUAGCAGCCCUCAUGCUUCAUAGCCCAUUUUCCCCUGGAAUUCAGCUAAUAUAAAUAAAACAAAUGAAGGGAACCUGGCCCCCCUCCAUGAAAAUUACAUCAUUCUUCCUUAUUAGGAAAACUUCUUCAAAUCUGAAAUUUUGCUCUAAAUAAUCAGAGUUUCUAUUUCUCAAUGAAUAACAAGGCAGGGGGCUGCCCUCAUCAGAAGUGUUGCUGUGUGGGGAGCAAUGUGUGUGACGUACAGGCUCAUUUCAACAGUGAUGCUUCCAACAGUAGUAAUAGUAACACCAGGGAAAGCAUUAAGGUGCAUUUAGGAAAGCGCAUGUCAUUCUCUCCAAAUUUUUGCUUUCUAUAUAUUUUUGGAUAUAUGCCUGUGUUAUGGUAAACAGAAAGAUGAGAAAGCAGAAAUUCUUAGGUUCUUUUGUAAUACUGGUUCUGACCAAAGAUUUUUGUAUCUGAUUGAUCUUGAUUAACAGGAUGAUGCAGUGGUUAAAAAUCUAAGGCAGAUCUGCCACUGCUCCCUGAAACACACUUGAGUUUCCUCUUAAGUGAUGUCUAAUUUGUUAGACAACUUUAGGUUAUCUAUUUUUGCUCUCAGCCGUCAGCAUAUUAACACGCUAGCUGAUCUAGGCUUCUUGGUAUGAAAGGUAAGAUUUAUGAAGUUAAUGUGUACACGUAAAAUAAAAAUCAAUUAAAACAAAUGUCUUCUUUAAACAUUACCUUUCCAUGGAUUUAAACAGGGCUGCUUAUCAGUUUGCUGAUUCUACCUGGUGUUUCACCUUUCUUUCAUCUUGACGUAAGGACUAUUCUCAUGAAAAUUAAGUAAAAAAGAGUUGGAAAAAACACUUCUAAAUGUGAAGUCUACAAUGGGGUUCAUGAAGCUAGUACCAUAUCCUAAAACAAAUAAUUUAUAAAUAAAUCCUGAGAUGUAAUGGAGCAUUAGGGUAAGCAAACAAUGAAGUCGUCUUACAGAGCGCUGCCUCUGGCAGGCAGCAUACACCAGCCCACUCACCGAGUUCUCAUUUUCCACUUUGGCUAGCUAACAAAAUCAGAGUAGUCAAUCACACUGUUCAUGAAAACAUGGAGGGCGAGGAAUGGCCAUGAGAGAAGGGUUGUCGAGAGAAGGAAGACUGGUCUAGAAAAUACGAGGAUGGUUCCAACAGUUAUAAGUUUAUACUUCUAAAUCUCUUCAUUUCUGAACUUUUCUAACAUUUAUGUUUUCAAAAGAAAGAAAAACAAAUAUGCCUUGUGCUUUGUGCUCAGUUAAUUGGACUGUUGGAUGGUCCUCACUGUUUCCCAUAAAGGGCCCCUGCACUGGCAAAUUGGGAAAGCAUUUCUAUUCAAGGACUCCAAGAACUUCCCAGUUCCAAAGGACCCUUCCAUCCUCUAGGAGUUUUAUUCAUAUACUUCUUAACUGGUUUAGGAAUGAAAGGUAAUGCUGUACUUCUUAGCCAUGUAGGCUCUGGAGUUAGACUGCCUGUGUUUAAAUUUUAGACUCUAUUAUUUACUGGCUGAGUUUCUUUGAUCACUUAAUUUUUCUGAACCUGCUUCUUCAUCUUUAAAAUGGGGGUCAUAUAUUUCUCAAAGGAAGAUAUAAAAGCAGCUGACAAACAUGAAAAAAUGCUCAGCAUCACUAAUCAUCAGAGAAAUGCAAACCAAAACCACGAUGAGAUACCAUCUCACACCAGUCAGAAUGGCUAUUACUACAACGUCAAAACAACAGCUGCUGGCCAGGAUGUGGAGAAAAGGGAAUGCUUAUACAUUGUUGGUGGGAAUGUAAAUUAGGCCACUGUGGAAAGCAGUUUGGAAAUUUCUCAAAGUUCUAAAAAUAGAACUACCAUUAGACUCAGCAAUCCCAGUAUUGGGUAUAUACCUAAAGGAAAAUAAAUCAUUCUACCAAAAAACCCCACAUGGUACAUGUACACUUGCUCCUCAUAGCACUGUUCACAACAGCAAAGACGUGGAACCAACCUAGAUGCCAUCAAUGGUGGAUUGGAUAAAGACAAUGUGGUACAUACACACCAUGGAAUACUAUACAGCUACAACAAAGAGCAAAAUCAUGUCCUUUGUAGCAACAUGGAUGCAGCUCGAGGCCAUUAUCCUAAACAAAUUAAUGCAGGAACAGAAAACCAAAUACCUCCUGAUAAGUGGGAGCUAAACACUGUGUACACACAAACAUGAAGAUGGGAACGACAGACACUGGGUACUCCAAAAGUGGGGAGAGAAGGAGGUGGGGAGGGGCUGAAAAACAUCCUCUUGGGUACUGUGUGCACCACCUGGGUGAGAGGAUCAAUGGAAACCCAAACCUUAGCAUCAUGAAUAUACCCUUGUAACAAACCUGCCCAUGUAACCAGUGAAUCUAAAAUAAAUAAAAUGGGGGUCAUGAUAGCACUUCCCUCCUAGACUGUGAAGAUGAAAUGUGGUAGUACAUGUGAAGUAUUUUGAGCAAUGUUCAAGCAUGCCUUUGAUAAAUGUGAGCUAUUAGUAUUCAGGACGGUCAUGUAAAUAAUUCAGUGUCCAAAUGUGGGCCCUUUAAUCUGGGACAAAGGCUGAACUAUAUAGAACUCUAGACAACUGGCAGAUUGACUGUCCUGGGGAAAAGGGAACACGUAGCCAUCCCAUUCAUAUUACAUAAUGUCAAGGUCACACACUGCACAGACAGACUGACUUACCAAAAUUAACAAAAUUUGUGUAUCACUGGGUACUAGAGUGUAUAAGAGAUCAGAUGGAAUAAGAAAGCCUUAAUUAAAAAAUCAUGAAUUAUAAUUUAAAGCAUUUAAGAUAGACGUACCACUUACAUGUUAAUCACUCAUUUUGCUGAACUUAGAACAUUCCUUUUCAGGCUGGGCGAGGUGGCUCACACCUGUAAUCCCAGCACUCUGGGAGGCCGAGGCGGGUGGAUCACGAGGUCAAGAGAUCGAGACCAUCCUGGUCAACAUGGUGAAACCUUGUCUCUACUAAAAAUACAAAAAUUAGCUGGGCGUGAUGGCAUGUGCCUGUAAUCCCAGCUACUUUGGAGGCUGAGGCAGGAGAAUCGCUUGAACCCGGGAGGCGGAGCUUGCAGUGAGCCAAGAUCGCGCCACUGCACUCCAGCCUGGCAACAGAGUGAGACUCCGUCUCAAAAAAAAAAAAAAAAAAAAGAACAUUCCUUCUCAGCAUUAUCCCAAAUAUAUUGUAAAGUUUAGUUUAAAUUAUUUUUACAGUGUUUUCAUCCUUCUUCAUGGCCUCCUUCCCACAAAUAUCAGGAAAAUGGGAACUGAUGAGGAGAGUAACAUUAAAUAAAAAGGGAAGUACAAGUAAUUUUAUUGUUGUGCUCAGCACAGACGGACCCAAUUACAGUCCUACAAGUACCUGGGUUGCUUCCCUCCUGACCUGGAGAACAGUCCCCUGGUACACUGUCAUUGUGGAAACAGAGAAAACACAUCUGUUAAAAAUGAGCUUUAGUGGAAAAAAUUCAGCUGGCAUUCUCUUUUCCUCUCUGUCGUCCUUUUUUAAUAGCACUCUUAUGUAAGGUCGUUACUAUAUAUAGUAGAGAACAGGGAGCUGUGAUUUGACCUGUACAGAGGCAGUCAGAUAUGGGCCAUUUCCUACCUUGGUGGGCCCAAAGGCAGCUGAACCUGCUGGACAGCAGGAGCGGCGGCACCUGGAACCCUUGCUCUUUGAGACCUCAGCACAGCUGCACGGCUGUUCUCUUCUUGCAUCUUCAGCUUCCCACCUACAAAAUCGGCACAGGGCCUACUUCUGAUCUAACUCAUUGGGGAUGCCUGUGGAACCUCAGAGAACAUCUGGGAAACAUUUUUUUGGCUUUGUCAAUACGUAUUUUUCCUCUGUAUAUCCAUCCAAGAUUUAUGCAAGAGCUAGAAUUGUAACAUUCCAGUCUAAGAAACCUAGACCGUCCUACCAUCCCUGACCAGCUUGUCCAAGCAAGAUAACUGCUUGUUUAUUGUCUUUUUCUCCCACUACCAGUCUUUCUCAAGAGCAGAGUUCACAUCUAUUCUGUUCAACAAUGUAUUAUCUUAGAUACAGCAUACCAUCCAUGAAUGAAUGAAUGAAUGAAUGAAUGAAUGACUCCAUGAGUAAACAGAGGCAGUAGUAGCAAACAUUUACUGAACACUUACCAGGAGACUCUAGACAAAUUUAAUCUUUCGUACCUCUGUUUUCUCAUCUAUGUAAUGGGGUAAUAAUAGAACCCACAGAGUAGGGCUGUUGCAGAGAUUAAAAGAGAAUAGUGCUUAGUUGUUACUGGAAUCCUCUCUUCCUCUUUAGUCAGUGGCACCAUCCCUGAUCCUGUUUCACAAGUCAGAACCGCAGAAGUCAGAGCUGCCUGUCUCCAUCCGUCUCAUCUCAACCAUCAUGAGUCCUGCCUUUCCCUCUCCUACACUUCUCCCACACGCUGUUCUCUUCCAUGCAGCCAGUUUCAAAAACCACAUGGAAUCCUGUGACUCUUGACUUCCCUGUCCCCAGUGACUUUCGCUUGCUCUUGGGAUCAACUCCAAAUUCCUUCACCUGGCCCACCAGGCCUGGUCGCCCCCUGUAGCCUCUUCUUUUCUCCCUCCCACCCCCAUUCUCAGAGUCUCAGCCCUUCCCUUCAAUGUGCGAUUCCUCCUGACUGCACACCUGUCUCUGUCUCCCAUUUAGCCUUCAGAUGUCAGGUCAAACAUCACUUCCUGAGGCUCUUUCCUCAGGCCUCCAAACCACACGAGGUCUUUCAGUUUCCUGCCCUCAGAGGUUGUGGCACAUUUUUUUCGCAGCAUCUGCCACACCAGCACUCCUUACAUGUCUUUUAUCUGGUCUCUAAUAAUUCCACGCACCCAGGCCCUUGAGGGUCUUUUCUAGCUUUGGUAAAAUGCGAGCUGGGAGGGAGGAUGCUGACAGAGGAGUGAGUAAAGGCUGGUCUAGAGGGCAUCUGAGAGCUUCUGUGGACUUCUUCUAGAAGGACCAUUGAUCAUCUGUAAAACAACCUGUAUUUGACUUUUAAGGCCAAAAUUUCUAAGGAAAAAAAUGUCUGUACACACAUGGGAAAAGCUAGUAAUUAUGCUGGCUAAAAGAAAAAGUUACUCUGUGAGAUGCUCAUAUAUGAAGUCCUCUCAGAUGUUGCUAUCUCACUUCUCAUUUUCCUAUCAAUAAUUAGCUAUGUGUGACUUUUCUCCCUUUACACUGCAAUGUGGUUUCUUCUGUUUUUCCUAAAUGGCUAAAAUUAUGAAAACUAAUUUAUUAGUCCUAAAAAGUAAACUUGACAUUUUUUGUAAAGUUUAACAGUAAAUAAAGAGUUAAUAUUACCAAAAACAACUGAGGCAGGGAAAAGGGCAAUUCCAGUGCAAAGUCUACUACCCACUGAUAUCUGUGAUACAUAAAAUAUUCUAAACACAACAUGUAGGUUUCUUGAUAUCCACACCUAGAAAGCAUUAGAGGGAAUUAAGAGAAAUUGUAGCCGAUUAACUCAUCUAAAAGCCCACAAAGCAGAAUAAAUCUAAUUACCAUGGCUUAAGGCAAAUAAUACCUCUUGCAAAAUAACCAAAAAUUCAAGCUUAAAGAGCAACUACACUCUUGUAGGCACUACUAACUUUGUGGAUGGUUCUUUCCUUUUGAGACAGGGUCUCACUCUGUUGCCCAGGCUGGAGUGUGCAGUGGCAUAGUCACGGCUCACUGCAGCCUUGACUUCCUGGGCUCAAGCAAUCCUCCUGCCUCAGCCUCCCGAGUAGCUGGCACUACAGGUGUGAGUUACUGCACCCGGCUAAUUUUUGUAGAGAUAGUCUAGCUAUGUUGCCCAGGCUUGUGUUUUUGUUUGUUUCUUUUCUUUUCUUUUCAUUCUACCUUCUUUCCCAGCUCUCUCAAUGAAUUUAACAAAUACUGAUUGAGCUUUUACUACAUGUUGGGUGCCAGAAAUCUAGUAGUGAUCAAAACAGACACAGCACUUGCCUUCAUGAAGCCACAUGAAGCCAGCAAGUACAGUGUGGCCUAAAACAGAAGAAUGUUUAACUGCAUGAAGGCAGGGUGCUUUGUAUUGCUGGGCUUGGUGUAUAUUUCUUUGCUAUCUAGUUUAAUAUAUUGAGCUUUACAUCUGUGCCAGCCUUGCAUGUCCAUAUACCUUUGGCAGGCAUUUCUAGUCAGGUGGCAUGGGGCAAGGGGUGUGCUACGUUUUAAGUCCCUCAUUUCUCCAGCCUGUCCAGGUAGUGUCUACGUCUCCAACUCACUCAGGAAGGCAGGAGACUUCCAGAUUCACUCCACUGGUAUCAAGAGUUAGGUUCUGGUGAGAGAGCUGGCAGAAGCUUCAGAGGACCUUGCGUCUUAGCCUCCUCUUUUUUUCCUGUCCUCAACAGCAAGUUGUUGCCUCUAAUUUUCAGAAAAUCGCAGCACAUUUCCAGGAGACCUGAAAUGCGGUGGACUGCUUCAACAUUAGAUUAUUUUGGCAGACAGGGAUAGUAUUUAGUGUAACGUCACCUAUAUGCUUAUCAAAUAGGGGUAAGGGAGUCAUAAUUAUUUUAAUGUCUAAUAUUAACGGUUCUUUAAUAAAUUACUUAUUAAAGUUCCAAGGUAUAAGUCUUUUAAUAGAAACAGGUUUCAGCCAGGCGUGGGGCUUAUGCCUGUAAUCCCAGCACUUUGGGAGGCCAAGGAGGGUGGAUCACUUGAGGUCAGGAGUUCGAGACCAGCCUGGCCAGCAUGGUGAAACCCCGUCUCUAUUAAAAAUACAAAAAUUAGCUGGGCGAGGUGGUGCUCGCCUGUAGUCCCAACUACUAGGGAGGCCGAAGCAUGAGAAUUGCUUGAACCCGGGAGGCAGAGGUUGCAGUGAGCCGAGAUUGCGCCAUUGCACUCCAGCCUGGGUGAAACAGCCAGACUCCGUCUCAAAAACAAAACAAAACAAAAAACAGGUUUGGAAUGAAUGCAAAAAAUCUACGAGAGACUGGCCAGUUGUACUAUUAAGUUAUCAAACAGUUUUAUCCUGCCUCUCUCUUCCAUUUUAUAUAUUUAAGUCACUUUUAAUUUAUGGGGGUAUGGAGGAGAGACAUAUUCUGGAGAUGGAGAAAAUAAAGGUAAGCCAGACUGUGGGUCCACAGGCUCUGCAGCAGGGAAUAAAUGUUGGUGCAAUUGGCAGGUUAGAGACACAUGGGAGGAAGGGAAGAGGAUGUAAAGAGACAAAGACAAGAAGGGAGACUGUAGGAAGCUGUGUGUGUGCUGCUGGCCUGGGAGACGGCACCCACUGACCUCCUCUGGCCUCUCAGUCACACUUGGGCCAGAUUAAUUCAUUCUGCAAACUUUUCUUGCCUGCCCAUGGAAUGCCAGGUACUGAGCUAGGGUUCGCAGACACAUGCUAAGCAGCAGUAAAAAGAGCUUAUUUUGUAUAAUACUCAGCUACUACUGAGCUAAAACUAGGAGAGCAUAUUAGAAAUGACAGACUUAGGCUGGGCGCGGUGGCUCAUGCCUGUAAUUCCAGCAUUUUGGGAGGCCGAGGCGGGCGGAUCACCUGAGGUCAGGAAUUCAAGACCAGCCUUACCAACAUGGAGAAACCCCGUCUCCACUAAAAAUAAAAAAAUUAGCCAGGUGUGGUGGUGCACGCCUGUAAUCCUAGCUACUCAGGAGGCUGAGGCAGGAGAAUAGCUUGAACCUGGGAGGUGGAGGUGGUGAGCCAAGAUCGCACCAUUGCACUCCAGCCUGGGCAACAAAAGCAAAACUCCAUCUCAAAAAAAAAAAAAAAAAAAAAAAAAAAAGAAAUGACAGACUUACAAAUUAUAUAAGUGAGAAAAGGAGACUGACUUUCCCUACAGUAUACCGCAUUUUUUCCAGGCUUUUCAAACAGGUUUGCAAUGUGAACAAUCGUUAUCUUCUAGAGGACUUUUAUGAAGGAUUUUAGUAGUGCAGGCCUGGACAUACCAUAUUAAAAACAAACCAUUUUAGAGUCAGGGAAAUGUUUCCCUCUUAUCUUUUAAAUUCUUGGUGGGGAGUAGGGGCUGAAGGGGGAGCAUUCAUUCCUUCCAGGAGCCAGGUUGCAGAAGAAAGCACUCUCACACAGGAGCAGGAGGGCUGAGGCCUCGCGAGCUACCCCCACGCUUGGUUCUGGCAGAUCACUUACAUUUCAGGACCUAGGCAGAUGAAGUUUCCUGGCUAUAUGCUAAGACAAAACUUUUCCUGCUUAAAAUCAGAUCUUUCAUUUUUUAGUAUUGAGUAUAAGGGAGGAUUAAAGGAGUUUAUUGCUUUAAAAAUUAAGGAAAUACACUGAAAAACUGGAUAGGAGUUUAUUCAUUGUAUUUUAUGACACCAAAGAUGAGCAAAUGCAUUCGUAAGUAUACAUAAUAAAAUAAAUAUAGCCUGGCAUCUCUUUUAAUGGAGGUAGCUUGGGGGUGAGAAGAGGGAAUGGGGAAGAUAAGCUGGGGGCCAGCUCUGAAUUCUUUAUGAGCCCCCUGAUGCAGCCAGCCACACGUGGUGUGAAUCUCAAUAGUGCCAGUUCUUCUUUCCAAGGGUCAGUGUUUUUUUUUUUUUGCUUUAAAAAUGGGGAUAAUAAUACCUGUAAUGAGAUUUCUUGUAAAGUUUAAGUGAGGUUAUAAAUGUAAAAGUCUAAUGUCAAAUCUGGCUACCAAGAAUUCAAAUUUUCUUUCACUUUCCAUCAAUAAUGAUAAAACGUGAAUAUUAAGCAUGGUUUGGAUUGAAAACCUUCUCAGGGUCUCAAAGUCUAGUCGAGAAUUCAAUUCAGACUUUAAAAAGCAGACAUUCAGUUCUCUCCAGAUUUGUGAAUGAAUGCAUUGUUACUAAAGAAGUUUCAGUGCCAAAAUAUACACUGUCUCUUCCUUUCUCCUUUUUCUUCUGCAGCUAAGUCGGCCAGAGCAUUCUAGAAAUCACCUUAAAAACGCAUCCCUCUUCUCCUACUGGAGUUUAUACAAUGACAAAAAUCUGAUCUGGCUUUUUCAAAAAGCAAACAACAAAACAUCCAAACAACAUAACCCUGAGUCUUUAACAGAAAGCUGGUGCUUGCACCAGGGGCGUGCAGACGUCUGGAACGCAUUACAAUCAGCUCCCUAAGGGGCAGCUUAUCUCUUCCUCUGAUGCUAUCGGUUUGCCAAGGAAAGUUAAAGACAAAAGUCAACUGUUGCACCCAGUUGGAAUGUGAACAUGUGGGAGAACCUGAAAUAUACUAAGACUAAUUUAUGUUCCGAUGGGAGUGGCUCUCAUGGUAAGGACUGAAGCAGUAUAUCCUGCUUUUUUAACGAAUUUUUUAACGAAAAAAAUUCUCACAGCCUGCAGGAAGAGCUACAAAAUAACCCCCUCUCAUCUUUACUGACUGUAGUUAGUACUCUCGUGUUGCAUUUUAGGGAAAGUUCAUUUGUGUCUGCAGUGGACUUCGAAGUUAAUCAUACCACAAAACUGUAGAGAAUGAACAUCUUGAAAUUAUUUCAGAAAUAAGAGCUCCAGGUAGCCUUUGAGAUUGGUAAAGUUUAGAAAUAAAGUAUACUUACAAAGCUGCAUCUUAUGACGUUGCAAAAGACUGAUUUAGGAUCAUUAUUUGGUGUGAAAUACAUUUUGCCAAUGUAAGCCUUUCCUUUCAACUGUUUAAGGCAUAGAAUACUAGUACAUUCUACAUUUAAUGUUUGAAUUCUACCAGUUUUAGAGCUCAGAACUCAAAUUAGCAUCGUUCUAAGUUUGACAAUAACCCUCUUUUUGCUUUUAAUAGUGUCUCCCUUCAUGUACUGAGUGUGCCUACGUUUUCCUCGAAUUGUUUUCUCAUCAGUGGUGGUGUGAGAAGCCUUCUUUUAGGAGAAAAAACACAGAACACCACCAAGUAGAUCUGUGUCUAAGAUGGCCAGUGCAUUCGGCACACUCUCUGGGCUGACAGGCACUGAACAAUGGCUCUUGCUCAAUAGGCCUGGUUUCCAGUCACUGACAACAACGAUCAGUACCUUCAAUCUCUAAAUUACACAAAUUUACAGCUUUGAUUUUUAGUCUUAGAAGCCAUCAAGGACAGGCCCCAGGACAAAACAAAGUGGCUGGCUCCCAUCUGCUGAGUAAGCAGAAGGGACAGUGGAGGAGUUCCUCUCAGUUUGCUUCACUUUCACUUUGCCCAGGGGUGGGGUGGGGUGGGGUGGGGUGGGACGGGGGUAGGGUUGCCGGAGGAGGCUAACUCAGUCCUCAGUCACCACCUGAGGACCACUCUCCAGGAACUUAGCACCCCCUGGGCUCAGUUUUCUUAGAGGUUAAAUGAGUAGAUUAGGCUAAAUUCUGGCUCUAAAAUUGAGUAACUAUUACAGGGAAGUAAAAAAUAAUUCUGAAUAAUACUGAUUGGGAAAUAGAGUGUCAGAAUUAGUUCUACAGCUAAUUAGCUCUCUCUUAAUAUGCCUGGGACUUAGUUUCUUCCUUUUUUUUUCUUUUUUAGAAAAGGAAUAUUCAUUGUGAGAAACUGAAGUAUCAGAAAGUAUAAGAGUAUAACUGGAUUGUUUGUAAUACAAAGGAUAAGUGCUUGAGGUGAUGGAUACCCCAUUUACCCUGAUGUGAUUAUUACGCAUUGCAUGUCCAUAUCCAAAUAGCCCAUAUACACACCUAUGUACCCACAAAAAUUAAAGAUAAAAUAUUAAUUAAAAAAUAAAGUGAAAGUAGUACGAUAAUAAAGUAAAUGUAAAGAAUUUCCCACAUAACCACCAAUCCUCAUACAAUUCCACUCCACAGGGCAAAACACCAAUAAAAUCUUGGUGCUAUCUUUCCAGAACCUUUACUAUACAAAUAUAAAUACUUACAACACCCAUAUGUUUACAUGUUUGGGUUUUUGUUCACAAAAGUUGGAUGAAGCAUAUGCACAUUUUCCCUCAGUGAUCUUGUAUCUUUCAACGAUGUAUCAUGGGUAUCCUUCCAUGUUGGUACAUGAAGGUUUAUUUCAUGCUUUUGAAUGGCCUCAUAGUAUUCCAUAGUAUAAACCAUUCUUUAUUAAUGAUAGACAUGCUCUCUUCAAGUACUCAUUAGUGCAAAUAGUGUAGCAAUAAAGCUGCCUGUACAACUAAUUUGUACUGUAUACUUGUUUUGAGUUUUCUGUGGCAAACAUGUCUAGAAAUGAGAUUAUUGGGUCAAAGGAUAUGUGAAUUUGACAUUUUAAUGGGUAUAAAUUGCCCUCAAAAAAGUUCUUAGGACUUUAUCUGAAAACAGAGGAAAGAAUAGAUGAUCCUUUUCUUUUUUCAACUGAGCUUCCAAUUCAAUUAAGAAGCCUUAAAAGCUGGAAUGGCAGAUGGGAGCAGCUUGCAAUUCCAGUCCCCUUUCAACCAGCCCACUAAUUUCAGGCCUUUUCUUUUUUAGCAAAUAUCAAAAUUCUGUUUUGCUUUGGUCUCAAUAUUGUCAAAUUAACAUUUUUUCAUGGUAAUAUUGCUAACCGUAAGCGAAUUGCUUAUUUCUAGUAGUGGGUAAGAAAUGGAUGUCCUGGUACCCACUGGAUGCCAUGGACAUGUACCCAGUGAUGGUGAUGCUGACACCACCAGUGUGGGUACCAUACCCACACUUUGAGAGCCUCAGCUUUUCAGAAAGCCCUUUAAUUCUUCGGAAGAAGCCUGCAGUUAGAGGACUCCUAUCUUCCUCUGGGUAGACUGUGAUUUACAUGUAUUUGAAUGGUAAUCAGUCACCUUAAUUAACAUAGCUUUUCUGUUACAUCUCACUACCAUGACAUGCAGGCUGUUUAACAGGUCACCUGUAAAGAGGAAACUGCAAAAUUCCACAUGGGCUUCCUGGAGUUCCUCUUACAGACCAUACCUACUCUCCCUCGCAUAACGGGUGUUUAAAAUUCAUUUAAGGCAACUAGAAAUAAUUCCAUGCCGUUCUCAUCUUAUAAAAGGAACUCUUUGUUGAUCAGAUGUUAUUAGUGUUGAAAUUGAUUCCUUAUGUAUUAUUUAAGGUCUUAGGUUUACAAUAAUCACCAAGUACCUAUAGCUGCUUAAAUUACCCAUAUCAAACGGACAUAUUUAACUUUCAGUUGUCCACGUUAUAAAAGGAAACAUGAGAAAACUUGAGACUUCCCCUUGACUGUAUGUAGUGGAUCUAUAUAGUACUUCCAAUCUAUUUUCUGUUCUAGAUCUUUUAUGUAAGAAUGAAAAUAGUAAAGCGUGCAGUGGGCUUAGGGUUGAGCAAAGGGACAAGUCAAUAUUUGUACAUGCAUGGUUGAAUGCAUAUUAGAGAAGAGGACUUGGUAUUGAAAUGACAUUCAGUUAAGGGACAGAAGAGUAGCAAAAAGAGGUAUCCUAGAACAGCUACUUGCCAUCUCAGAUUAUUGCAAGAGGAAGCCUCACUGAUUGAGACCACAUUAAUUUGAAAUCUGUGAUACCUCUGAGAUUUUCACUAACAACUAAAAAGGGGGCUUGUCAAAUAAAUCAGUAGUAUAACAAUUGGCAAAAGUGCUGCUUAAGACAAACGACUUUCAAGCCCUUGGGAAGCAUUCAUUACAUUACUAUUUAAAACCGUGGCUUUACUUCCCACUGGUACUUUCUUAGUCUUGACUAGCUGAGUUCUUUGUAUGUAUAAGUCUUCCUUUUUACAAGAGGUUUUAUGAUUUAGGAAUCUCUUAAACUCUAACAACCUGUCUCGUGAGUACAGUUGUCCCUCGGUAUUUGAGGGGGACUGGUUCCAGGAACCCUUCGGAUACCAAAAUCCACACAUGCUCAAGUCCCUGAUAAAAAAAUGUCCUAGCAUUUGCACAUCACCUACAUACAUCCUCCUGUAUAUUUUAAAUCAUCUCUAGAUUACUUAUAAUACCUAAUGUAAAGGCUAUAUAAAUAGCUGUCAUGCUAUAUUGCUUUUUUUCUUGUAUUAUUUCUAUUGUUGUAUUACUGUUUUUGUUUUGUUUUUCCAAAUAUUUUUGAUCUGUGGUUGGUUAAAUCCAUGAAUGUGGAACCCAGGGAUCCAGAGGGCCAACUAUUAUCUAAGACAGAUGAUGCUAUUGGAAAAGAAGAAAGGUGUUAGUAAGGGUCCUAAAAUUCCUUAAAGGACCUAGAACAAUUUCUCCAAUGAUAUAGACAGGUAGGAAAUAUUUUGUUCGAUUUCUGACCGUAUCCCUUGAUAGAAAGCACAUUUUCAUGUUUUCCAUGGCACUUUGGGUGUGGAAAGCAAGGCCUUCCACAGCUGGUAAAGCCUCCCUCACCUCCUCUGCUCCGGUGCCUCUCUAGCCACACCAGUCACCUGCCAUCCUCCGGACACACAGCCCUCCCCCCUCCAGCUUCUCUACCCAGCUUCAGCCUUCUCCCAAACUCUCCACUCUCAGCUCUUGGUUCUCUCCUGAAGCUUCUCCUUACUCCCCCAGGCAGAGCUGGUCAGUCCCUCCUCAGAGGACACUGAAUCUGUUUCACCCACAGAACUAAUCAAUUCAUUCUGCAUCUGGGCCCCUCCCUUCCGAGCCUAACCCAUGAUGGCCUGGUCAAUGUCCUACUUAGUCGGGAAUGCUGAGCACAAAACAAACUCAGUACAUGUUUGCUGAAUAAAUGAUACUGGAUGUGUCUGCUAGCUUUUUGAAGCAUUUGGAAAGACUUUCAAGCACGUUAAUAACUUUUUAAUAUUUGGAGUUCACCCUUUAUUAGGAAGUUGGCAGGGAAGAUACGCUGUGGGAUGCCAGAGUCCAAUCUCCUGUUGCACAACUUUUUUUUCCACCUCAUAUAUUCUAAUAAAUCUCAGAUAAAAUUAGAAUACCACAGAAAUCACAGGGUCUUGCGCUGAUGGCACAGUUUUUGACGAGCGACUGGGACUUGGAGAGAGAAAAGUUCAGUGUUAGAAAAGCUAUGAGCUGCUCAACCAUUCUGAAAUCCACAAAUUCUUGAAAUUCUCAAGGCUUGUGGGGUUCCCCACUUCUCUCUUCUGUGUGCGUAUAUGUGUAUUAACAAGAAUAAACAAUGAUCUCACAGGA